rnacentral:rRNA from 1 species
AUUGAACGCUGGCGGCAGGCCUAACACAUGCAAGUCGAGCGAGCGGCGGACGGGUGAGUAAUGCCUAGGAAUCUGCCUGGUAGUGGGGGAUAACGUCCGGAAACGGUAGCUAAUACCGCAUACCAUCAGAUGUUCCCAGAUGGGAUUAGCUAGUGGGUGGGGUAACGGCUCACCUGGGCGAAGAUCCCUAGCUGGUCUAGGAGGAUGACCAGCCACCAUGGAAAUGAUACACGGUCCAGACUCAUACGGGAGGCAGCAGGGGGAAAUAUUGCACAAGGGGCGCAAGCCUGAUGCAGCCAUGCCGCGUGUGUGAAGAAGGCCUGCGGGUUGUAAAGCACUUUCAGCGGGGAGGCGUUACCCGCAGAAGAAGCACCGGCUAACUCCGUGCCAGCAGCCGCGGUAAUAC